AGUGAACGCUGGCGGUAGGCCUAACACAUGCAAGUCGAACGGCAGCACAGUAAGAGCUUGCUCUUACGGGUGGCGAGUGGCGGACGGGUGAGGAAUACAUCGGAAUCUACUUUUUCGUGGGGGAUAACGUAGGGAAACUUACGCUAAUACCGCAUACGACCUACGGGUGAAAGCAGGGGAUCUUCGGACCUUGCGCGAUUGAAUGAGCCGAUGUCGGAUUAGCUAGUUGGCGGGGUAAAGGCCCACCAAGGCGACGAUCCGUAGCUGGUCUGAGAGGAUGAUCAGCCACACCGGAACUGAGACACGGUCCCGACUCCUACGGGAGGGAGCAGUGGGGAAUAUUGGACCAUUGGCGCAAGCCCGAUCCCACCCUACCGCGUGGGUGAAGGAGGCCUUCGGGUUGGUAAGCCCUUUUGUUGGGAAAAAAAAGCCGCCGGUUAAUACCCCGCUGUUCUGACGGUACCCAAAGAAUAAGCACCGGCUAACUUCGUG
rnacentral:rRNA from 1 species